GGAGAAGACAUAGACUAUGAUGACCUGGUCCGCAGAGGACAUCUGGCUGCUUCUAAGGUGAUCAUACUCCAGGUCUGUCACUUUCAGGAUGCUGUGAGAGCUACAUUGGCACGUGUGCCCUGUGUCCCUGCACAGUGUUCUCCUUAGGACCAUGGGACAAACCAGCUGGGAAGCAAACCAGGUAAACACAGCGUGGCAACAUCAGGUUCCUGGAGUGGCAUUCUGAGCAUCCCUGAAUAAUUCUGAUGUGUCAGCUGGUGUCUGUGGAAUCACUAAAAGUCAAGUUUCAAGCUACAACCCUCUACCUCUGCUCAAAAAGGCAUUUUAAGUCCUUGCUUUGAGCAAAGCUUCCAACCUCCUGCCUCAAACACAUGGCAAUGAGAGGUAAAAGAGAAAAAGAAGCAAUCUAAAGGACAAAGCUGCACUCCAACCAAGAUGAACACCCUGUGCAUGGAAGCCAAAUCAAUAGAUUUGCGGGGCUGAAGCCACAGGCUUGCUUGGCUCUAGGUCUAGAAGCAGCGAAAGCAGAUAUGAAUUUAGCUCUUGUGGGAAAACAGAAUAAAAUAAAAUGCCCCUCUCCAGGCUGGAGAGCAGGGUGGGG
rnacentral:lncRNA from 1 species